ACGAACGCUGGCGGCGUGCUUAACACAUGCAAGUCGAACGGUGAAGCGCCUUCCUUUUUGGUGGGUGUGGAUGAGUGGCGAACGGGUGAGUAACACGUGAGUAACCUGCCCCCUUCUUCUGGAUAACCGCAUGAAAGUGUGGCUAAUACGGGAUAUUCUGGGUCUGUCGCAUGAUGGGUCUGGGAAAGAUAUUGUUUCGGUGGGGGAUGGGCUCCCGGCCUAUCAGCUUGUUGGUGGGGUGAUGGCCUACCAAGGCGGUGACGGGUAGCCGGCGCGAGAGGGUAGCCGGUCACACUGGGACUGAGACCAGGCCCAGACUCCUACGCGACGCAGCCGUGUAGAAUAUUGCACAGUGGGCGCAAGCCUGAUGCAGCGACGCCGCGUGAGGGAUGGAGGCCUUCGGGUUGUGAACCUCUUUCGCCAGUGAAGCAGGCCUGCCUCGUUUGUGGGUGGGUUGACGGUAGCUGGAUAAGAAGCGCCGGCUAACUACGUG
rnacentral:rRNA from 1 species